rnacentral:rRNA from 1 species
UACGAAGGGUGCUAGCGUUGUUCGGAAUCACUGGGCGUAAAGCGCGCGUAGGCGGCUUCUCAAGUCAGGGGUGAAAUCCUUGGGCUCAACCCAAGAAUUGCCUUUGAAACUGUGAAGCUGGAGUGUCGGAGGGGAUAGCGGAAUUCCUAAUGUAGAGGUGAAAUUCGUAGAUAUUAGGAGGAACACCGGUGGCGAAGGCGGCUAUCUGGACGACAACUGACGCUGAGGCGCGAAAGUGUGGGGAUCAAACAGG